GUGCUUGCUUCGGCAGCACAUAUAUUAAAUUGGAGCAAUACAGAGAAUAUUAGCAUGGCCACUGUGCAAGGAUGACACGCAAAUUCAUGAAGCAUUCCAUAUUUUU